rnacentral:tRNA from 1 species
GUCAGGAUGGCCGAGCGGUCUAAGGUGCCAGACUCAAGGAUUGACUUCUCCUGGUCAAGGGGAUUUCUGGUCUCCGAAUGGAGGCCUGGGUUCAAAUCCCACUUCUGACA